UACGUAGGUGACCAGCGUUGUCCGGAUUUACUGGGCGCAAAGAGCGCGCAGGCGGUCGUUCAAGUCGAGUGUGAAAGCCCCCGGCUCAACUGGGGAGGGUCACUCGAUACUGAUCGACUUGAAGGCAGGAGAGGGAAGCGGAAUUCCCGGUGUAGUGGUGAAAUGCGUAGAUAUCGGGAGGAACACCAGUGGCGAAGGCGGCUUCCUGGCCUGUUCUUGACGCUGAGGCGCGAAAGCUAGGGGAGCAAACGGG
rnacentral:rRNA from 1 species